ensembl:snRNA U6 U6 spliceosomal RNA
GUGCUCACUUUGGCAGCACAUAUGCUAAAAUUGGAACAAUACAUAGAAGAUUAGCAUGGCCCCUGCGCAAGGAUGACAAAGACCCAAUCUCUUAAUACUAUCACCUUUG